GGCACAAACUUGGAGUACAGUAGCUUAGUGAGGUUUGCCGAUCCUACUAAUCUAUUCUACUUCAAAUUUGGGUCC
rnacentral:pre_miRNA from 1 species